GAUGAACGCUGGCGGCAUGCUUAACACAUGCAAGUCUACUGGAACGUCGGUGUGGUUGGCGGACGGGUGAGUAACGCGUAAAGGACUUUCCUCACAGUUAGGGACAACAUUUGGAAACGAAUGCUAAUACCUGAUAUGAUGAUUUUAGGGCAUCCUAAAAUUAUGAAAGCGAUAUGCGCUGUGAGAGAGCUUUGCGUCCCAUUAGCUAGUUGGAGAGGUAACGUCUCACCAAGGCGAUGAUGGGUAGCCGGCCUGGGAGGGUGAACGGCCACAAGGGGCCUGGGAAACGGCCAGUAGUCAAACGGGCGGCAGCGGCGGGGAACAUUCGAAAAUGGACCACAUGUCUGAUCAAGGACUUCGGUGCGUAAGACGACGUUUUUAGGAAUGUAAAGUGCUUUAAGUUGCUAAGCACAAAAUGACGGUACCAAAAGAAGAAGCCACGGCUAACUACGUG
rnacentral:rRNA from 1 species